rnacentral:rRNA from 1 species
ACGAACGCUGGCGGCGUGCUUCACCCAUGCCAGUCGCACGGAAAGGCCCUGCUUUUGUGGGGUGCUCGAGUGGCGAACGGGUGAGUAACACGUGAGCAACCUGCCCUUGACUUUGGGAUAACUUCAGGAAACUGGGGCUAAUACCGGAUAGGAGCUCCUGCUGCAUGGUGGGGGUUGGAAAGUUUCGGCGGUUGGGGAUGGACUCGCGGCUUAUCAGCUUGUUGGUGGGGUAGUGGCUUACCAAGGCUUUGACGGGUAGCCGGCCUGAGAGGGUGACCGGCCACAUUGGGACUGAGAUACGGCCCAGACUCCUACGGGAGGCAGCAGUGGGGAAUAUUGCACAAUGGGCGGAAGCCUGAUGCAGCAACGCCGCGUGCGGGAUGACGGCCUUCGGGUUGUAAACCGCUUUCGCCUGUGACGAAGCGUGAGUGACGGUAAUGGGUAAAGAAGCACCGGCUAACUACGUG